AACCUUAUGGACCUGCGGGCGUAUACCUGCGGAAGGAUCAUUACAGAGAUUGAUGCACCAAGUGCAUCACCUCCAACCCCUUGCGAAAACAACUAUCAUGUGUUGCUUUGGCAGUGUUUCCACUGCCAGAGGUUUACAUAAAAUCAGCUGUUUGGAUGUUGUCUGAGUAAACUAUAUGAAUUAUUUAAAACUUUUAACAACGGAUCU
rnacentral:misc_RNA from 1 species